AACACCUAGGAGGAGCUGAGAAAAGGUCAGCAACUUGCAAGUAGAUGCAAGGAGGAAGCACAACCUCAAAGGAUUCCUUUACUGUAAACACCACUUGUAAAAUAAGGCCCACCUGCCUGGGCUAAAAGAGAACCAUUGUUUCUCAUCAGCUCAUUCUCUCCAUUCACAGAGCUUUACAGAAAUGUUAUUCUCUCCACGAUCCCCUUAUUCUUAUUAUUCCUCUGACUUGAUGAGCCAGUGACCUCAUUCUGUUGCAUGAUAGCCUGGCACCACCAUAUGGGUGCACUGGCAAACGCCAGGGCGCCAUCUGUAGGGGUCCAAAACCAGGCCAUCAGCAAAUGUUCUUGCUGUUACUCACUGUAAGUUCUGAUUCUGGGGCAAGGAGAGUAAAAAUCAAAAACAAAUGAUCACAGUUGCCCUACUUUUGUGUUACUAGUCUUGCCUUUUCAUACCCAAAAUACGCUGCAGUCAGAGCUUCUGGCAGGUUGCAUUUUGGAAAAAUAAAGACAGGAGGUUACUGUGCUAUUUUCCUCAAAGUAUCCUCAGACAUCUGGAAUGAUCUUCAUUCUCUAAUCCAAGCAAAAAUGAGCCAGGAUUUGAAAUCAAGGUCAAAACAUGGGUUUUUGAUAAAGAAUUGGUUAAAAUGAAUCAUGCUUGGGAUCAGUUCUGACCAGGCUAAGGACUGUGCAGAAUUCAGGGCCACGGCGUGGAGGUGCCAUCCCAUCGGCAGAUCCCCAAGCGCACAUGUUACCUGAGCACCAGACAAUCAUGCAGGUCUUACUGCCUUGUGGCAAAUUCAACAUUUUCAAUGGGUUUCUCUAAAUUGCGAAUACCACGUCUUUUACCAGGCACGGGGGAAGGCAUUGAGUUGAUGCAGGCAUCCCGGUUAAAAUGACAUCAUAUGAUAAUUUCAUGAAAACCUUAAGAAUGAUUUUUAUCUGAUAUACAUGUAUGCUAACUACUGUACCAAGUUUGGGUACCUAAAUUUUAGUUAUUCUGCCUUUCAUAAUGGGAAAAAAAAUGUGACUUGGCCUGAUUUGAGGUAUUUUAAACAUAAUUUCCAUUUAAAAAUUCAGCAGGCCUUUGCAUUAAGGUACUUUUCUAUUUUGAAAAUAUAACCCCUCAUUUCAUUUCCACAUGCUGAAAAUAGGAUUCCUUUAAUGAUUAAGAGGCAGAAAAGUCAGGUAAUGCACAAAAUUAAAUAUAACUGCCUGUGCUGAUGUGUAAGCUGAGGAACAACCAUUUUACUUCAUUUAUUUUAUUUUUGUAACUCCCAAUACUCAAAGCUCUUCAGAUGGUUCAUAAAAAUUACAACCCACAAAUCAAAUACAAAAUGAUAAUAAUGUAAAAUGAAAUCUGUAACAGACAAUUUUUUAAAUGGUGACAGUAAAAUGAUGGGUCCACAUAAAACAACUGACAUCAAUGACCCAUCAUUUUCGUUUAGGACAUUUUAAACUGAAUCAUUUCAGCACCACCAUUUCCAGCUUACAGUUAAGGGGAAAUGUAUAAUUCUGCCACAAGCGCCACUGCCACAGAGGGUAGAUUUGAAAUUUAACCUUGUCCCAGGGAUGUCUAACCUCCCACUCCAGGUUAGGACACAACAACCCAGAGGAACUGUGUGCGGGAGGAAUGUUCCCAUUACAGCUGGCAGACGUGCACCUGUUGAGGGGAUAAAUAAAGCAGCCCUUUUCUAGCUUGGCUUCCGUUCACUGCCAGUCCCUCGAGACUCAGGGGAAUGGAUACUGCAUCUUCUCCACAGCCUGUCCAAGUGGAAACAUGCCUCAAGUGUCAGGGAAGCGGCAGAUGCUCCUGCUCGCAAACGGUCCUGUUCAGACCCCGAGAGGUGACCGACUUCACUCCUAAUGCAUUCUUCCUUUGUCGAACAUGAGCAUCGCUCUUCAAAUGUAGAAGCCCAGGUAGGGGCGCUGUCCGUUUUUCUGGCCCUGCUCCUGGAUGUGCAGCAGCAGCUCAACACACAAACAUUUAGCAAGGGAAGGCUCUCCUGGCCCGAAGUGGCAGAUUACGUACAUUCCAACUGAGCACAGGCAGUGCCACCUUUCGGGGACAUAUUCUGAGCAAUCCACUAUCCCCCUUUGCUCUUUGGGAGUAUUUCUUUAAAGAAAAUGAGCUGCUAGAGUUUGCGAUGCUUUCGAGUUUGGCUCUUGCACUAGUUCAGGGGCCCCAAGAAGCGAAGGUGCAGUUUGAUGCAUAUUUAGACAGAAAAAGCCCUACAACUCCUAGCGUGCCUCAGCCAGCAUCUGCCUGGUCUUGGGUACCACAUGCCUUAGCUUGGUGGAGAGGCACACGUGUCUUUGGCUCCUCCACGUCAGGCUGCAAAAAGGCCUAAAGGAUGAUGCUCAGCAUCCUUUAGCAAGUGAUUCUCCAACUGAGGAUGGUGAACAACUUCCCAUUAAGUGAUAAUGGACUUCCAGGUCUUAUCAGGUCUUUAUUUUUCACCCCUGAACCAGGAAUUUUCUUCAUAGAAUCUUCAGUAAUGCAUAACUAGAAGAGGCAAAGAUUCUGGUUUGAGAUGUGUAAGGAAUCCAAAAGGGGGGGGGGGGGGGGGUCUGCCAGUUUUUCUUGAUUCUGCCCUGUGGAUUCUGUUCCAUAAACUGUCUGCUGGCAGCUUCUCAUUCUGAUGCAAGUCAAGCCAACAUGCAGGUGUCUGUUUUUUUAAAUGGGCUUUGAUUUCACAGCCAGCAACAUUUGUAAAACGUUUGGGUCACUAUUCUGCAAAUUGCAUAAAUUUGCACAAAUCACAGAUGGAGGCAUGGCGUUUUGCACAAAUAUGAAACUGUCAGAAAAUGCAAGGUAGUCAAGAUGCUUCCAUCCUUCUCACGUUAAAUGUCACAGCAAGAGCAAGAACUCAAACCUAACAAAUUUCCAAUUUGCACAAACGUGUGCAUGCAAUUUACAAAAAUUGUGCUAGAAAUCCACAGUUCCUAGCUCCUGCAAAAAUAGUUUCAGCAAUUAUGUGGAGGUUAAACACCCUGACUUGGCUUUCUUUGCCUAUUAGGUAAGAAAUGUGUCAAAACUUUGUUAAGCUUAUAGUGCCGCACACCCAUAGUUCAGGCCCUGUUCUUUGAGUGUUAAAAAAGGAAGCGUAAGGAACGCAGAAAAGCACCCCUACUUUCUUCUGUGAAAUAUAUGAGAGGAUGUGACAUGUGAAGACAUAGUUGUAGAGCCUGGGCCAGUGGCAGGUAAUAUACCCCUAAACCUGAAGCUCACCAGACGAAUUCCUGCAAAUCCUCCAAACACAUUGCGAUUGUACAGCGCGGCAAAGGGGAAUGUGCUGGCUCUGGCACCAUUUCUCGGUUGUUCUGCCGAUGGGUUUAGGUCAGGUGUGGCACCUACAAACGUUCAUCGAGACUAUAAAUAAGGACUCUGGUCUGGGGUUCACAGCCCAGCUGCUUUCGCAGAGAAGCACCGCUUGCGAACAAGGGCGCCUCACCACAGGCCCACCAAGGUCUGUGCAACUGGACUGGAGAGAGAGGGGAGUUGCUGAAAUUGUGCCAGUUAUAGUAGCGAAAAAUACAGUGUUUACAGAGGUGGCAUGUCUGACAGAAGCCCACAUCUCCACUGCCUCGCUUGGACCCCAGAGGUGGCCCCUGGGUAUUCUUGGGGUACUUACCUCAGGGCCUCUGUUUAGCCCACUACUAUGAACCAACUGCUUUCUAGUAACCUACUUUUAGCAAACACUUUCUACAGCAGCUUUCCUAUCUGGUGCCCUCCAGAUGUUGGAUUACAAUUCCCAUCAUCCCCAGACAGCUACAGUUUGACUGAUGUGGAGGGCAGGGGUCCGAAAAGCCUUUUUAUAUGACCCGAUCUGCUGCAGAAUCAUUCAUCUGCCAUGCAACCCCUCUGCUCCACUAAGGUUACACAGUUAUGUUAUAUUUUUGGCAUCCCAGAGGGGCAACCUUUUCGGAGGAAAUCUGAUAAGGCUACCCUAUACCUGUUCAGACUGAGGAGAAAUCCUCCUACUCACGCAUGCUAGGAGUUAUACAACUUUUUUUCCCGCCAAAACAGGCAAAAGAUUUUGCCCUUCAUUUCCUCUGGAUGAAUAAACCCCUAAAAAUGAACAAAACUACUGAACUUUAUCAGAUUCCCCGAGAAUAAGAUGCAUUCUGCCUCUGCAUCUCUCUCUCUCUCUCUCUCUAUUCAAAUACAUGCUCACAUAUGUUACAUUAUCAUGUUUCUAUCACACCUUUUCCUUCAAAGAGCUCAAAUGGUCGCACAUGGUCACCCCGUCCCUAUUUUUGCCUAACGACACUGCAGGACUGAGAAAUGCUGAUUGACCAAAGAUACCAAUGAGCUUCCAUGUUGAAUUGCUCUGUUCCAGCCAUUAACUGUAAUCACUGUUACCUUCUGGAGAGAUUCCAGCUCUUUAAGCCCUCCAGAAAGCCCUUCAGAUAGAGCCUUCAUCCUCUGUUAAGCAAAACCUGUACGUGAGAGAGUAAAACGUGUAACUGUAUUUUAUGACACACUUCCAUUCACUUCUGGUACUCAUCACGCCAGUUGGACAAGGAGCCAAGGACUCUUCUCCAGUUGAAGGGCUGCAAGAUGAGCAUCCUUUCUUUUGAAGAUGCCCUCUAUCUGAAGGACUGUCCAAUCCAAGUCCAGUUUAAAGAUAAAAGAACUAUCAGAAGGGUCUUCUGACUGCCCUAGACAUAAGACUCCACAAGGCAUAGUGAGCACCUGAUCAGAAGCUUCCAUGCUCUGUUGAGUGUUCUGGAUUUCUAUAUAAAUUUGUACCAUUCUAAAUUUGCAUCUAUAAAUAUCAGUGAGAAUAUAAGCAUUUUAGACCAAUUGCUUUCCUCUUGUGGCCAUCUGUGUAACCGAGAGCAUAUCUGAUGGUUUCCGGUAGGUGCACAUUAUAGGAAAAUGUCGCUGGUGCAUAGAAAGGGUGUUUUUGAUGUUCAUCUCUCUUCACUGAGGCACUCUCCACUAGCUAAAGGGAAAUGUCAGGGUAUUCCACAAAAGAGCUUAAAAGUCAGUUCUACGAACGAUGCUUUGUUGGGUUAUUCCAGAACGGGCAGCCCAUUUCAGUUUUAUGACAACAUGCAUGUUAGAUAUUCUGGAUUCCUUGCCUGACACAUGGAUUCCAGGGGUGUGAAGCAAGAACUACAUUAGUUCCUGAUGAAAAUGCCUUCCUACAUUACACGGGACUUUAAAUAUAGAACACCAGUCCAUGGAUGGGCUUGCACAAAGUGUACGUGCAGUGCAGGGCAGGUAAAGAUUAUAUAGUCCUGCCCCAUUGUCACUCUAUGUGAUGUGUGGGCACAAAGUGAUUGGUGGCCAUGCUGGCGGUGUAUCAAAGGGCUAUUAGGAGACUUGAGUCAACGGCACUUGAAAAGAAGGGAUUUAAGUCCGUAUUCAGGUCAGCAGCGGCGGCCAAUCAGCGGCCGGGAAGCCAAAAUAGCCAACAAUUGGUAUUUGCCCUCCAAACGCAGGAGGCGAGAGAAGGAAUGGCAACGUUAUUUCCACACCUAUCAAGGCCUGUGGAAGGAUUCUGGACAGAGCAGAAGAACGAGACCCAGAUGAAGCGCUGCUUGCCUGGGAGCCCCAGUCUUUGGAAAUCACCCGGAGAGCUUCGGAUACUGAGUGGUACAGAAAUGUAAUAAAUGAAAGACGGAACAGGAAUUUCCAGGCAGCAACACCACAAGCACGGGGAAAACCUUCUUCAAGGCACUAUAAAAACUAAAUAUCACAUCGCAUUCAUCUCAACAUUUCAUUUCAUUUGGCAACGAGAAAGGGGACUCAGAUCUCCCUGGAGAACACGCUGUCCACCAAGGGAGUGGAAGUUCCCUGGAUCCCAUCUGACAUGAGCAAGAAAAGGGAAAGCUCUUUAUUUCCGCCAUAUGGGCAAGAAGGGGCAUCCUUAUCCACUGCACGUGGUCCCAAGUUAUGAGCCUAUUAGGGAAGAUCGAGCAGCUACCAUGCAGGUAAGCAGCAAGUCAGUUUCAAGACGGCAAACCCAAGCUCAUCAAGGCCGGUAUGGCAAAGUGGUGAGAGGGUUGGACUAGGAAGACCCAGAUUCUACAUCCCACCUGGGUGAUUCUGAGCCAUUCGUAGACUCUCAGCCUAGCCUACCUCACAGGGUUAUUAUGAGAAUAAAAUAGGAAGUAUUCUAAGGAUUAUGUAAGCCACCUUGGGUUCCUUGGAGGAAAAUGCAGGAUAAGAAUAUAAUAAAUUUUUAAAAGUAUUAAAAGAUAUAUUCAGAAACCGUUCCCUGCUUACAUGUCAUUGGGUACUGUAGUCACAUACUUAAGAGGAAAACAAAUCAUAACAGCAUGUUCACCACCCAACUCAGCUUCAUAUGUGGGACCACUGCAGAAACCAACAAUCAAAUUGCACCAUGUUCUACCACAGUGAAUUCCAAAAGGGCAGAGGUCAGCCUAUGUCAACCUGGUAUCCACCAAAUGUUUUGGACAGCCAUUCCCAUCAGCUGCAGCCAGGUUGGCCGAUAGCCAGGAAUUCUAGGAGCUGUGGCACACAAUUUCUGGGGACCACCAAGUUGGGGGAGGCUGCUCUGCUUCUCCCUCUUUCCUGCCAAGUAUGGCUGAUUUCAGCUCAAACUCAACCCCACUUGGUGAAUGGCAUUUCUGAAAUUCAGAAGGCGACAAACCCAGUGGUAACCAAUUUGACUCUUGACAGAAAAGCAAGACCUGAAAGAGAGAGAAGGCAGGAAGAAAUUAUGUUCUCCUGUUGCUUCUAGUUGUUACAGAUUGCCCUUGCUGAAUAUUUCCAAGUGGAUUGUUUGUAGUUGGCUUGACCCAUGAUGGCUUAGGUUGUCCCUGCUGCAUUUAAGGGUUGUCAAGGUGGCUUAUAAACCAAAAAUAAGCCACCUUGACAAACCUGUCUUGUGUUCACCCAACAUGACAACCCCCAACAGCUUGUAAGCUUAUGGUAGGUUGUCAUGUCAUGCAAACCUCAUCAGUGAAAUUCCCUAUGUCAAUUUCUAUGUCUAGGCCCCAUUUCUGAGUUUCUAAUUUGCUUGGCAGUGCCCCAUCGCCCUGCUUGACCCUGUAAAGACAGGGACAGAACAGUGCAAUUUCAGAAGGCCCAAUGCUUCAAAAUUCCUUGGUAAACCAAACUGAAGAAACCAACAACCCAUAAGAAAUUACAACCAAAUCAGAAUGUUGCUGCAUUGAAUGCAAGCUCUGAUGCCCCAAGACAUGAUAAACGCAGCUGCUUCAAAAGGCUUCUUUUGCAUUCAUCCGGUCACCCAUUCCAGAUCCACAGUGGAGGAAGCUUUGGCACUUCUGGUGUGAACUCGGAAGCACAGUUGGUCGGUGUCUCCAUCUUCUCUACACCUCACUUCCCUGACAGCAAGUCCCCUCUCUUUGGCUGCCUGCUAUUUUCACAAUCCUUUGCUCCUUGCAAACAGGGAAGGGGAAGGCAAUAGUCUUAUGAUAAUCAUGAGAGAUAUUCUUAUGAUUUAAUGCUGUGCUCUCCUAAUCAAGUACCUUCCAAGGAAGGGCCACCUUUUCUACAGGUUCUCUAACAUAAGCAUGAUCACCUGUGCAAUCAAGACCCCAUGGACAAGCAACCUGUGCUGUGAAUGUUUGAAGACCAUCACCCACCCCCAUGAACUUGGCUUCCUUCUUUGAGUUCUGAUUUUGUGGCGAGCUUCAUGGGAUGAGUCCCAUGGCACUAUAAAAGACAGGGCCCAGUGCUGUGUCUGUCCCCAUGUGUGAAUCAUACUGGGCUAAAGAAAACAUCACAACUAUUUUUCACACCUGCUUGCUAGAAAAAAAAUCCAGAAUUCCAGACGUAGAAAGCUGCAGGGUGACCUUAAAAUCUCACGCCUGCUUCUCCUUUCUUCCAGCCAUCACUCAGACACUUAUUUUUAGAUAAACGACAAGGCGUUAAGCACAAUGCUCUGUUUCAUGGGGACACAAAGAUAUGCCUUCACCUGUCACCCAUUCUGAUUGACUGGAACUCCUGAACUGCAUGCUUUGAAGACUCAACAGAGAUCUGAUCACCUGGACCUCCCAGAAGGGAAUAUCUGAUCAUACCUCCAACUGUUAAUUUAAAAAAAUCUUACAGGUUUAAUUUGUUUUCAUUAGUUGCUAGGAUUCAGCUACUGCAAAUGUUAUUCAUGUGUUUCCUUGUGUUGCAGGGCUUAUUUUUAUAUGCUGUGCUUUAUAUGAAAUCUGCCGCAUGAGUUUUGUUUAAGAAUGAAUAUUUUUCAAUUGUUAGGAGCGUGCACAACUAUAUCAUAAUGAGAAUGGCAGGAGUGAUUUUUGUUGUUGUACCUGCAUAAAGAGAAGUACGUAUGUUCCAAAGUGAGCUCUUUAAAAAGUAUUUGAUUUUUGUUAAUGUGGUGCAGAGUAUGAAUGGGAAAGAUCUGCCAAUGGAGAAGUCUACUGGGUGUCCCUGGGUAGCAGAAAGCCACCAUAUUUCAUCUACCUGAAUCUGGGAGUUCUUUUUUGAAGUCUGCUUUUUAAGAAAGAAAGUAGGCGAGAGUUGAUUGUAUCGAUUAAUAAACAUACAUACAAGGAGGGGAGUUUGCUUGAACUGUCAAUGGGUUGGUGGGUGGGAAAGGACAGCUGGACAUGCCACCAAAUCAAAUGAUGGUUUAUUUGACAGUCAUCAGCUAAAACAGCGUUUGGUUUGCUAGCAAGUACAUUUGCUGUGCAGACUCCAAAGCUAGCAGGAAGCCAGGUUUACACCACAAAUGCAGAACCCCCUCUUGAAUUGACUUUCUCACAUCCUGUCUCCACCCAGCUAUCACCAGUUCAACUCAUUUCACAGAAAUGUGUAACUUGCAAAAAUACAUGUUAAAAAGGCCCUGUUCCAAAGAUGCAUUGCAAAUGUACUUGUGGCAAGUAAAACAGAUCUUCCAUCUUCACUGUUUAAAAAUAGCAUGCUGUUAUCUAGGCACAUGGACAAAUAAGCAUUUUUAUCACUUGAUGACUUAAAGUCCAAUGUGUCUAAAAGGAAUUCAGUCUGAGCUGACAUCAAGUGCAACAGAAACAGAGAAACAAAGACACAGAGCAAUUCAGGGAUCUCCCAGGUCAUCUAGUCUGACCCCUGGCUCCAGCUGGCUCUGCUCAUGACAUGCCAGAUGAGUCCAUUUGUAUUAGCUCAUUUGAUGUGCAGUCAGUGAGCAAUAAAUCUGUGAGGAAUAUAAAUUAGCUGCUUGAUAUAAUGUGUAUCUUCUUCUCUCAAAAGUUUGGUUACCACUUUUCUCUUAUUUGUCUUAACAAAAUCCCUAUUUGGUAAGUUCAGCAGAGAGAUCUUUGCUGAACUUACCAAGGCUGCUAACUGUGUGUUUAUUUGCUGUAUCUCCUUUCCGUUUUGUCAUAGAAUUGAGAUCUGAGCACAAAAUCAGAAGCAUUUCCUUUUCUGCUGUCUUGCUACUUAAACACUAGGUGGCACUGUGGUAUAGAAGAAUAGCACAAACACACAAGAGGAAAUAACCCUUUCUUUCAGCUUCACACUUAAAUGCCACAUUUUCCCAGCUCUGAAAAAAAAACGAAAGAAAACAAAACACCCUAAUUAAAACUGCUGGUUAGACACUGAAGAAAAAACGGAGGGUCAUGACGUUGUCUAAUGAGUCCAUAAACAAUUGAGAGCAGGGAACAAUGAGCACAGCAGAAAUGCCUCAGUAGAAAAACCUAGCACUUAUGCAAGACCACUCAAGAGUCUUGCUUGAUGCUCUGUUAUUACAUACAUGAGCCCCAAAGCUCAGGCACUUCUGCUAUGGCGAUGAGAAACCAAUAAGAAGCUACCCAACCACAUAGUUUAGCAGUAUGUCCAGACUAAAACAAACUGUGAUUAGUCUCUUAGGUGGUACAUGAGCUGCCUUGUUUUACACAUUUUGGGGUCUGACUCAACUUUAAACUGCUGGAGAGGGAAGGGAGAAUGCAUGAGCCUGAGGUUUAUUUAUGUGGUAUUGUUGUUAUGUUUGAGCAAAGCUAAUUAGACUCUCUCUUGAAUGUUGUCCACACGUAUUUAAAAGCCAUGCACAUACACCUGGCGUGAAUGCACAUACGUAUAUAUAAAACCCAAAGGACCAAAAUGAGCCCAGAGCUAGCUGGUGGCAAAGGUCCUUUGCAAUUUACUUGCAGGAGCUGCUUCUGCUAAGUAAUGUCUAGAUGCUACUUUUAUUUGUCAUAACCUAUGACAUAAUAGCCCAUAAAAAGUCAUCCCUGGCCAAAAAAAUGCUUCUUGUCUCUUUUAUGACAUUUUUAUAGUGAGGAUAGCAUUAAAGUGAAAUAGGUUAGUAUUGAAAAUAGACCUUUUCCAUUAACAGGCAAAUUCUGGUAGGAGAUUUAUGGCUUUUGGGGAGCCAAGGAUUGUACUACUUAUUCUCCCUUCCUUUUUCUUUCUCCCUCUCCCAUGGGUGCGCAAGCUUGCAACAAGCACAAAGAAACACAAGAGCAAUUCGUGGAUACUGGAGCCCUGUGAUGUAGGGUACAGUGAGCAUAAAUGACUAGAACAAAAUAAUUGAAUUAGCUUCACGGCUGAGCGGGAACUAGGAAACUGGAUCCCCUGAGUCCCAGUCCAGCACUCUCUCUGCACAAUACACUUGUUCCUUCUACUUCUGAUGUUCAGACUGCCGUACACAAAACGGGAGGAUUCACACUCAAGAGUGAGACAGAAGAAGGCUUGGGAGAACGUCAAUGUUUUCGAAAGUACAUAACAUGGAAAAAACGAAUAAACAUCCAGUGAAGAUGGAGGGUGUGCGUUGUUUAUGGAAUGCUGAUGGAGUGUUGCGAAGGACAAAAUGGGAAAACCACACGGGGCGGGGAUGGAAGGAAUGGGUGGACUCCCGAACAGCAUGAUUCCUCCACACCGCAACAUUUUUCUGGAGAGGCCACCUGAAGAAUUAACGGCAAUCCAAUGCUCUGUUCUGCUGCGAAAGCUGUGAAGUAACUGCAUAAUGUAUCUUAGGGCAAGACUGUGGAAGAGCCAUGUCAUUGCAUGCUUUCUCCCAGCUGCUCCAGCAUAGACAUAAUUCCAUGCCAGAUCAUGGCUUUUCCUGCUAUCUUGAACAUGUGCCAGGAAAGCAUCCAUCAUCCAGGGUUCCAAUGCUCCUAUGUUCAAGAGAAUGAGGUAUCCUUUGGAGAAGUUCAUAAAGCUGAAGCCCCCCUCUGACCUUACCACAUGGAGAAGUGAGGUCGACAUGUAGCAGCUGACCAGCCCCAGUCUCUCCAGUGGGGUUCUGAGGGUGCUUGCAGAUGGACAGGUCCUAGCACCACCAGUCUACCAGUUAAUGGGGCAGGGGCGCAUAUGUGUGUGUUUCAUAAGAGGAAAGGCAGAAGAAGAGGUUGAAAACCACAGGAUGGACCCCACAGAAAUUCCUGGCUUGAUGCAGACCAAUUGCACAAUGAAGGCCUUGACUAGCAUUAACUGCGGUUUUGUUUGGAGAACUGGCUUGCAGCCCUGGAAGGCUUCAGAAGAGGAUUUGAUCUACGCCUUCUCUCAGCCUGCUUAGCUAGGUUGCCCACUUUCUCGCCUAAUGCAGCAAAUGGUACUCCCACAGCACGGAAGAGUCUCUGGGCACAACUGGGUUCCUUCCUAGGCUGCAGGACUGUAAGAGAGGCAGGAUAGGUCUCCGGGUUGAACCCUCCAGCGCAAAUUCACAAGCAAGCCCCACUGAGUUCAACCAAAGGUGUUCUCUAGUACAGAGGGUGCAGCACUAAGUACCAUCAUUUCUGGAAUUUAUGAAGGAUUUUGGACUAUUAAAAUUUUGGACUAUUAAAAUUUGGACUAUUAAAAAGUCCAAAAUUUUGGACUUCAGAUUUUGGACUAUUAAAACACCCCGAAGAUGCA